AUUGAACGCUGGCGGCAUGCCUUACACAUGCAAGUCGAACGGUAACGCGGGGCAACCUGGCAACGAGUGGCGAACGGGUGAGUAAUGCAUCGGAACGUGCCCAGUAGUGGGGGAUAGCCCGGCGAAAGCCGGAUUAAUACCGCAUACGACCUACGGGUGAAAGGGGGGGAUCGCAAGACCUCUCGCUAUUGGAGCGGCCGAUGUCAGAUUAGGUAGUUGGGGGGGUAAAGGCCCACCAAGCCUUCGAUCUGUAGCUGGUCUGAGAGGACGACCAGCCACACUGGGACUGAGACACGGCCCAGGCUCCUACGGGAGGCAGCAGUGGGGAAUUUUGGACAAUGGGCGCAAGCCUGAUCCAGCCAUGCCGCGUGCGGGAAGAAGGCCUUCGGGUUGUAAACCGCUUUUGUCAGGGAAGAAACGCUCUGGGCUAAUACCUCGGGGUAAUGACGGUACCUGAAGAAUAAGCACCGGCUAACUACGUGCCAGCAGCCGCGGUAA
rnacentral:rRNA from 1 species